GACGAACGCUGGCGGCGUGCCUAAUACAUGCAAGUAGAACGCUGAAGGAGGAGCUUGCUUCUCUGGAUGAGUUGCGAACGGGUGAGUAACGCGUAGGUAACCUGCCUGGUAGCGGGGGAUAACUAUUGGAAACGAUAGCUAAUACCGCAUAAUAGUAGAUGUUGCAUGACAUUUGCUUAAAAGGUGCAAUUGCAUCACUACCAGAUGGACCUGCGUUGUAUUAGCUAGUUGGUGGGGUAACGGCUCACCAAGGCGACGAUACAUAGCCGACCUGAGAGGGUGAUCGGCCACACUGGGACUGAGACACGGCCCAGACUCCUACGGGAGGCAGCAGUAGGGAAUCUUCGGCAAUGGACGGAAGUCUGACCGAGCAACGCCGCGUGAGUGAAGAAGGUUCUCGGAUCGUAAAGCUCUGUUGUAAGAGAAGAACGAGUGUGAGAGUGGAAAGUUCACACUGUGACGGUAUCUUACCAGAAAGGGACGGCUAACUACGUG
rnacentral:rRNA from 1 species